GGGGUUGUGGCUCAUUGGUAAAGCACUUGCCUCACAUGCAUGAGGCCCUGGGUUUAAUCCUCAGCACCACA
rnacentral:tRNA from 1 species